UACGAAGGGGGCUAGCGUUAAUCGGAAUUACUGGGCGUAAAGCGUGCGCAGGCGGUGAUGUAAGACAGGUGUGAAAUCCCCGGGCUUAACCUGGGAACUGCAUUUGUGACUGCAUCGCUGGAGUGCGGCAGAGGGGGAUGGAAUUCCGCGUGUAGCAGUGAAAUUCGUAGAUAUUGGGAGGAACACCAGUGGCGAAGGCGGCUCACUGGACCGGUUCUGACGCUGAAGCGCGAAAGCGUGGGGAGCAAACGGG
rnacentral:rRNA from 1 species